GACGAACGCUGGCGGCGUGCUUAACACAUGCAAGGCGAGCGAAUGGAUUAAGAGCUUGCUCUUAUGAAGUUAGCGGCGGACGGGUGAGUAACACGUGGGUAACCUGCCCAUAAGACUGGGAUAACUCCGGGAAACCGGGGCUAAUACCGGAUAACAUUUUGAACCGCAUGGUUCGAAAUUGAAAGGCGGCUUCGGCUGUCACUUAUGGAUGGACCCGCGUCGCAUUAGCUAGUUGGUGAGGUAACGGCUCACCAAGGCAACGAUGCGUAGCCGACCUGGGAGGGUGAUCGGCUACACUGGGACUGAGACACGGCCCGGAGGCCUACGGGAGGCGGCAGUGGGGAAUCUUCCGCAAUGGACGAAAGUCUGACGGAGCAACGCCGCGUGAGUGAUGAAGGCUUUCGGGUCGUAAAACUCUGUUGUUAGGGAAGAACAAGUGCUAGUUGAAUAAGCUGGCACCUUGACGGUACCUAACCAGAAAGCCACGGCUAACUACGUGCCAGCAGCCGCCGUAA
rnacentral:rRNA from 1 species